UCACCCAUGUACUGAUGGAUCAGCCUA
rnacentral:piRNA from 1 species